CGUGUAGGCGGCCGACUAAGUCUGAUGUGAAAUACCCGCUUUUAAGGUGGGUCGUGCAUUGGAAACUGGAUGGCUAGAGUGCAGAAGAGGUAAGUGGAAUUCCCAGUGUAGCGGUGAAAUGCGUAGAGAUUGGGAGGAACACCAGUGGCGAAGGCGACUUACUGGGCCGCAACUGACGCUGAGGCGCGAAAGCGUGGGGAGCAAACA
rnacentral:rRNA from 1 species